rnacentral:rRNA from 1 species
UCCGUAGGCGGUGCGGCAAGUCGGAAGUGAAAUCUCAGGGCUUAACCCUGAGGCUGCUUCCGAAACUGCCGUGCUCGAGUGCGAGAGAGGCGAGUGGAAUUGCAGGUGUAGCGAUGAAAUGCGUAGAUAUCUGCAGGAACAUCCGAGGCGAAAGCGGCUCGCUGGAUCGCAACUGACGCUGAGGGACGAAAGCUAGGGGAGCAAACAGGAUUAGAUACCCUGGUAGUCCUAGCCCUAAACGAUCAGGACUGGGCGUGGGCCUCGUACGGGGCUCGUGCCGCAGCUAACGCGUUAAGUCCUGCGCCUGGGGAGUACGGUCGCAAGGCUGAA